AGGAGGAACAGCCCCAAUGGCGGGGCAGCUCUGGAAACCUGGAUUCAGCUCCGGCAGGAACUCCGUCUGCAGGGCCUGGAGGCUCCGGGGCGGG
rfam:Canis lupus familiaris chromosome X, whole genome shotgun sequence.